rnacentral:rRNA from 1 species
AUGGCAGCCGCAGCGCUGAGAGCCCGGCUCAACGCCCACAUCUUCAGAAUGUAUGCCGAGGGUGUGGUGGAGGAGGAGACCUUCGAGCAGCUGCGGGAGGACGGCACCGCCACCGAGCUUGCCCGCCUCUUGAUCAACGAAGCCUACGAGAUCCUCCACGACAUCGACAUCCGGAUGGAGGAGCCGGAAGUGGACAUCGACGAGGUGGAAGCCCUGACGCAGCAGCUCAUGGAGUGCGCCUCCAGUGUUGGUGCACAGCAAGUGAAACUCGCCUGCAUGCAUUUCGGAGAUUUCUAUGAAAUAAAAUGCAAACAAGGGUGCCUUGUGUCAUUGGAUCUUGUUAGGAAUUUGUACUGUAUUGUGCGCAAUGACGUGGAGAUCAUGAUGCAGCUGGAGGAUCAGAUCGCGGCCUGUGGUCCUAAGUAA